GUAGGCGGUUUAAUAAGUGAAUAGUGAAACCUGGUGGCUCAACCAUACAGACUAUUAUUCAAACUGUUAAACUCGAGAAUGGUAGAGGUAACNUGGAAUUUCUUGUGUAGGAGUGAAAUCCGUAGAUAUAAGAAGGAACACCGAUGGCGUAGGCAGGUUACNUGGGCCAUUUCUGACGCUAAGGCACGAAAGCGUGGGGAGCGAACCGGAUUAGAUACCCGGGUAGUCCACGCCGUAAACGAUGGAUACUAGCUGUUGGAGGUAUCGACCCCUUCAGUAGCGAAGCUAACGCGUUAAGUAUCCCGCCUGUGGAGUACGGCCGCAAGGCUAAAACAUAAAGGAAUUGACGGGGACCCGCACAAGCGGUGGAUUAUGUUCUUUAAUUCGAUGAUAACCGAAGAACCUUACCAGGGCUUGACAUCCAGGGAAGGUCUGCGAAAGUAGACUGUGCCUUUUGGAACCCUGUGACAGGUGAUGCAUGGCCGUCGUCAGCUCGUGUCGUGAGAUGUUAGGUUAAGUCCUUCAACGAGCGCAACCCUUGCAAGUAGUUGUAUUUUUCUACUUGGACUGCCCCGGUAACGGGGAGGAAGGAGGGGAUGAUGUCAGGUCAGUAUUUCCCUUACGUCCUGGGCUAGAAACGUAAUACAAUGGCUAGUACAAUGCGCAGCGAAGCCGCGAGGUGAAGCAAAUCG
rnacentral:rRNA from 1 species